AAGGAUCAUUCAUAAUAAGUGUUUUAUGGCACUUUUUAAAUCCAUAUCCACCUUGUGUGCAAUGUCGGUCGGUCUUCUUUAUGGAGAUUGAUCAAACAUCAACCUAAUUUUUAACUCUUUGUCUGAAAAAUAUUAUGAAUAAAUAAUUCAAAUACAACUUUCAACAACGGAUCUCUUGGCUCUCGCAUCGAUGAAGAACGCAGCGGAACUACAUCGAUGUGAGUAAAAGUCGUAACAAG
rnacentral:misc_RNA from 1 species